rnacentral:rRNA from 1 species
UCUUUCCUACGGGGCGCAGCAGUAGGGAAUAUUGCUCAAUGGGGGAAACCCUGAAGCAGCAACGCCGCGUGGAGGAUGAAGGUUUUCGGAUUGUAAACUCCUUUUGUUAGAGAAGACAAUGACGGUAUCUAACGAAUAAGCAACGGCUAAAACAGUGCCAGCAGCCGCGGUAAUACGGAGGGGGGAAGCGUUACUCGGAAUCACUGGGCGUAAAGAGCGCGUAGGCGGGAUAGCAAGUCAGAGGGGAA